rnacentral:rRNA from 1 species
AUUGAACGCUGGCGGCAGGCCUAACACAUGCAAGUCGAGCGGAUGAAGGGAGCUUGCUCCUGGAUUCAGCGGCGGACGGGUGAGUAAUGCCUAGGAAUCUGCCUGGUAGUGGGGGAUAACGUCCGGAAACGGGCGCUAAUACCGCAUACGUCGUGAGGGAGAAAGUGGGGGAUCUUCGGACCUCACGCUAUCAGAUGAGCCUAGGUCGGAUUAGCUAGUUGGUGGGGUAAAGGCCUACCAAGGCGACGAUCCGUAACUGGUCUGAGAGGAUGAUCAGUCACACUGGAACUGAGACACGGUCCAGACUCCUACGGGAGGCAGCAGUGGGGAAUAUUGGACAAUGGGCGAAAGCCUGAUCCAGCCAUGCCGCGUGUGUGAGGAAGGUCUUCGGAUUGUAAAGCACUUUAAGUUGGGAGGAAGGGCAGUAAGUUAAUACCUUGCUGUUUUGACGUUACCAACAGAAUAAGCACCGGCUAACUUCGUG